GUCUAGGGCUAUAACACCCUGAACAUACCUGAUCGCAUCUGAUCUCUGAAGCUAAGCAGGGUCAGGCCUGGUUAGUACAUGGAUGGGAGUACAUAGAAAGAACUACGAAGAGAAAACAGAAGCUCUAGAGA
ensembl:rRNA 5S_rRNA 5S ribosomal RNA